CUACCUUGUUACGACUUCACCCCAGUCAUGAAUCCUACCGUGGUAAUCGCCCUCCUUACGGUUAGGCUAACUACUUCUGGUAAAACCCACUCCCAUGGUGUGACGGAGCGGUGUGUGUGCAAGACCAGGAACGUAUUCACGCGACAUGCUGAUCCGCAGAGUGCCAGCAGUUGACUACGCAGUCGAGUUGCCAGACUGCGUCCGGACUACUGAUCGGGUUUCCCAAGUUGGCUCCCCUCGGCGGGUUGGCGACCGCAGCCGACCAUUGUAUGACGUGUGAAGCCCUACCGCAGGAGCCGCGAGGACUUGACGUCAUCCCCACCCGGCCUCCGGUUUGUCACCGGCAGUCUCGAUAGAAGUGCCCGCUCGUAGCAACUAAUGACAGGGUUGCGCUUUCGUUGGGACUUGGCCCGGCGUCUCACGUGACACAGGCGACGACAGCCAUACAGCACCUGUGUUCCGGUUCUCUUGCAACACUCCCAAAUCUCUUCAGGAUUCAGACAUGUCAAAGGUGAUAAAAUUUUCGCGUUGCAUCGAAUUAAUCCACAUCGUCACCGCGUGCGGUCCCCGUCAAUUCGCCUUCCCCCGGGUUUUAAUCUUGCGACCGUACGGCGGUCAACCACCGCGUUGCUUUACGCUACCGAGCCAGAAAUAACAGCUAGUUGACAUCGUUUAAAGCGUAUCAGACUGCAGGGUAUCUAAUCCUGUUUGCUCCCCACGCUUUAAAUGCAUAGGCGUCAGUGUUAUCAGAGACUGCCUUACGCCAUCGGUGUUCUCCGCAUAUCUUGCCAUUUCACUGCUACGCGGAAUUCCACCUCCUCUGACACCUCCUAGCUCGUGAUUAAAUGCAGUUUAAGUUGAAAUACAGAGUUUCACAUCUUUUUAUCUUUCCAGACGCCUGCCUGCGCACGCUUUACGCCCAGUAAUUCCGAUUAACGCUUGCACCGUAUUACCGCGACUGCUGGCACGUAGUUAGCCGGUGCUUAUUCACCGAGUACGGAAUCAGUUUACUGAGGUAUUAUCCGUGCCGUUUCUUCCUGCCAAAAGUGCUUUACAACCCGAAGGCCUUCAUCGCACACGCGGAUGGCUGGAUCAGAGUUUCCCCCAUUGUCCAAAAUUCCCUGCUGCCUCCCGUAGGAAGUCUAGGCCGUGUCUCCAGUCCCAGUGUGGCUGGUCGUCCUCUCAGGCCAGCUGGAUCGUCGCCUUGGUAAAGGCCGUUACCCCCACCAACUAGCUAAUCGAUAUCGGCCGCUCUAAUAAUUGCGAGGCCCGAAGACCCCGCUUUCCCGAAGGGCGCCCCAUGCGGCCAGUAGCUACGCUCGCGUAGUUAUCCCCGCUACUAGGCACGUUCCGAUACAUUGCUCACCGUUCGCCACUCGCCACCAGACCGAAGUCCGUGCUGCCGUUCGACUUGCAUGUGUAAGGCAUCCACGCCAGCGUUCAAUCUGAGCCAGAAUCGAACU
rnacentral:rRNA from 1 species